UUACCUCAGUGCCCUGAGUUGAUUCAAAACAUUUAUCUUUUAUGGUGAUUUUGACUUUGCCAAAGAACCAAAAGGUAUGUGGAGCCAGAUCUGGUGAAUAAUGUGGAUGAAACACACCCUACUGUUUUUGUGAGACUAUCUUUCCAUUAACUGGGACUUGGUAGCAGCGUUCGCUCUAUUUUUGGUCAUACCUUGUAAGGAUGUAAAAGAGAACUACUACAAGUGCUUCAGAAAGUGGUACAAACAGUGAAAAGGUAUAUACGGAUUCAUAGACCUUUCGAGUGCGGAGGGUAAAUGGUGAAAACACAGUUCCCCUGGAAAGAAAUGCAGAAGAAAGAUGGAUAGAAGAUGAAUAGUCCCACAAAGGAGAUGUCUUUUCUCCUGGGCUGUGUAGAGACACACAGCAGUACUUCAGAAUAAAAGUCAACAGUGGUCAAACCAAGAGCCAGAGCCGAAGGCUGAUGAUGAACUCGGAAAUUCAGCAAGUGCAAGAGAUGCUCUCUAGAUAGGACGAAGCCUCCUUUCAUUCCUUGAGCUGGGAUAGGACAACUCCCAGUGCUCAGCAGUUUUCAGGCCCUGGAUAUUGUUUCUCCCAUUUGCACUGGACGAUCCCGACGGAUUCAUCUUGAUCUCCAUGUGGAAAUCACCACUGACUGAGCAACUCAGAAGCUGCUUUCUGGGGAUGGUGGAAUGUGGCCCCAAGCAUGGUCCCUGUGCAUCAUUGAGGGACAGAGUGUCCCACCCCCUCGGACUCUUGUAACACAGACAAAUGGAUGUCCAUUUAUUUGAAUUAGCAUAUGACAUCUUGAAAGAAAUGGAAAAAAAUCUUAAGGAACCAGUUGCUGAGGAUGAGAAUCAGGAGAAUCUGACCUCUUCCUGAAUGUGUAAGGAUCAAGGCAUCUAGAAAUGUCAAGAGGAGCUGUAAAAAGCAUCUGUAGUAAAACUCUAUGUAUGUUUUGCGAAAAUAUAGGAAGCAUAAAGGUCAUGAUGUUUAUCUGCAGAAACCUAACAAAGAUCACCUCAGAAAACCUAAUUUUUGGUUAUUCUGUAAGUGAAGUAAGAGUGAAGCAAAUUCAUAGGAUGAUAUUGAAGAAAACUGUGUUUCCAGUCCAAAAGGCCAAGAUGAAGAAACGACACUCUCUCCUCUUCUUUAAUAUGCUUGUAAAAAAAAAUGUGAAGACUUCAAAGAAGAAAAAAAUCAGAGAUUGGAAAAAUUAUAGAUGAAUUUUAUA